ACUUGGGUUUGUGCUUAGGAGAAGGAACAGCAUAGGACCUUUGUGAUUACAUUGAGUCCACCUGGAUAAUCCAGAAAUAUCUCCAUGACCUAAAAUCGUCUAAUUCCCCAAUACCAUAUCCCCAUCUCUCUGAGAUGAGCCAGAUUCCUGCCUGCUGGGAAGGCUCUGCUUCUGAGGGUCUGCAGAGGCACCAGAAGCUGCUCUUCUGCAUUGUGGUAACAGUAGGAAGAGUGCUGCAGAAGCUGCCCUAGUUCAACGGCACCCUCUUCACAGUAAUGUGGAGUCGUUAGUUCCCUUGAUUGCUCUCUGAUGCGUAGCUUUAAUUGUAUCCUUGCUUUUAUGGAGAGAAUAGAAUCAUGUUCCCAAGAGGAUAGCUAGGAAAACCCACUCCCAGCCUCCAAUACAAAGAGGAGACUGCAGAAACUGCUGCUUCAUGGGUGGGCACAGGAGAAAGGUGGUGAGAGAGGACAGCUACCUCCAAAGGUGUGGGGUUUAUGCAUGGAAGGAUCACUGUCCCCUUCGCCUCUUCUAAGAGUAUA